UGCCAGCCGCCGCGGUAAUACGGAGGGGGUUAGCGUUGUUCGGAAUUACUGGGCGUAAAGCGUGUGUAGGCUGCGCGGAAAGUCAAAUGUGAAAGCCCGGGGCUCAACCUCGGAACUGCAUUCGAUACUCCCGUGCUAGAGUAAUGGAGAGGUAAGUGGAAUUCCUGGUGUAGCAGUGAAAUGCGUGGAUAUCAGGAGGAACAUCAAUGGCGAAGGCAACUUACUGGACAUUUACUGACGCUCAGACGCGGAGGCUAGGGUAGCGAAAGGGAUUAGAUA
rnacentral:rRNA from 1 species